AGUCAGCACGGGAAUGGGAAAUCGCUGCCUGCAGGUACAGUGAAAGGUCAGCAGUUGGGUAGCUCUGGCGGCUGGUAGGGCUGUUGGGCCCACAUUUGUAGUAUGGCAAGUAUGCACUAGCAGAAUAUGACUUUGCACAAGAGACCACGAGAACCAAUGUCUUGGAGUAAUUAAAGAAGAGGGCUAAGGACCUUUCUCCACUACUAGUGUUUGCCUCGCAUUCACAUGCCCUGAUUUGAUCCAUGGCAAAUCAAUCAAUCAGUCCAAAUGUAAGGAUAUCUCAACACUUACUUUUAGAAGAUGGAAUCUGAACCUGACUGCAUGAAUGUUACUAUUGUUAUUUUUGCCACACUCAGAUUUUGCUGAGUAAUAUGUGCAAUGCUUAUGCUUGCUGUGUACCUAUGUAUAAAUAUUAUACACUGUAAAAAAUGAAAGUUUUAAUAAAUACCAAAUUUAAGGCCUCAA